rnacentral:rRNA from 1 species
CAUGGCUCAGGACGAACGCUGGCGGCGUGCCUAAUACAUGCAAGUCGAACGAACCGCGACUGAGUGCUUGCACUUGGUCAAGGUGAGUGGCGAACGGGUGAGUAACACGUGGGUAACCUACCUCAUAGUGGGGGAUAACAGUCGGAAACGACUGCUAAUACCGCAUAGGACAUAGGAUCACAUGAUCCAGUGAGGAAAGGUGGCGCAAGCUAUCGCUAAGAGAUGGACCCGCGGUGCAUUAGCUAGUUGGUAGGGUAACGGCCUACCAAGGCGAUGAUGCAUAGCCGACCUUGGAGGUUUAUCGGCCACCUUGGGACUUGGACCCGGCCCAAACUCCUACGG